GGGUCAGUAGGUUGGUCGUGCCACCGGUACGUACUGGUCUCACUGAUUCCUCCUUCCUGAAGAACCGUAAUGCCAUUAAUUUGGUGUUGCGGGGAAACAGGACCGUUACUUUGAAAAAAUUAGAGUGUUUAAAGCAAGCUAACGCUUGGAUACAUUAGCAUGGAAUAAUGAAAUAGGACGAUCGAUCCUAUUUUGUUGGUUUCUAGGAUUGACGUA
rnacentral:rRNA from 1 species